GACGAAUGUGUCUCCCCAUCCCCGUUGGUCCGUCAAUCAGCCGCCCACGCAAUGGUCACAUUCAUCGAAGAACAUCCCAACGAAAUGCCUGCAAUUCUCACGAAAUUCGAUGAAACCUACAAGGAUUUGGUGCUCAUUCGUGAGCCAAUCUAUGAUGAUGUCGGACGUCUUCAACGUGAAGCAAUCGAUGAAAGUGAUCGAAGAUCAGGAAUCGGACAAACUUUGGUGCUCCUCGCAGGGCUCUGCCGACAGGAAGAAGCCGAGCAGUUGAUUCGUAUUGUUGCUCCAGAUGGGCUCUCGGAUCGGGCUCAAGAAUGCCGGAAUGAGCUCAGAAAUGCGGCUGUUGAAACGAUUCGGAGGCAUGGAGCAGCUUGUAUGCUCAGGCUUUUGCCACUUUUGGAGAAGCUUUCUGAUGAGACACCGGCUCAAGAUGAUAAUAGGCGGCAGGGGCUUGUGGUUCUGCUGGGAACACUUGCACAAUAUAUUGAUAGUACUGAGAAGGUUAAGGGAAUUGUUGCACGGCUUGUUGAAGCACUUGGAACGCCUAGUCAAACUGUGCAG
rnacentral:sRNA from 1 species